UCCCAUGGUGGGAUUGCACUGGGUUGGCUGGCAGGGGACACCCACAUGAAGCAGACAGUGACUUCCCUGGGAACCUCAUAUGUGAGCCAUCUCUGAGUGGGCAGAGGACUCACAAAAAAAGGGGGUGAGGAGCCUGGUCAGAACUCGAAGCCAGCUUUGAGCUAGGCAGCAGAGUUGUCUGCUCAGAGUGGCAGAGAUCCGUGAUCCUGACCAUUCAGCCUUAUCUUCAUCAGACCUAGGAGUGAGCGCCUAGCCACGUGGGACGAGAGGUGAUAUUUCUACAUACAGAAGGUGACAUGUGGCUCCAAGCAACUGCCAGCUACAGCCCCAAAGAAGGCAGAACCCCGUAAAGAUAACAGCAAGCCACAAACGUGUGCCUAAUUACAACAAGUGACACCAGAGAGGGGGAGAGUUAGAAUACCGCAGGUCCAAAGCCAGAAGCUCUCUUGGGCUCCUUUCCCCUAUGUGACAGCCAAUCUGUCACCUACCUCUGUGUGUGACUUGGCAUUCUUGUUGGAGCUCCAAAGCUGCUUAAUAAAGUUAUCUGUUGGAGCUGGAGAGAUGGCUCAGAGGUUGA